UACGGCAUUAAUAAACAAAUAAACAUGCAAAAUCUUUUUCUAAAGUUACAUCACUUGGUGUCGGUGAUAUGUUAGACAUUAUCAAUAUGAUGUAUAUUCCCAAAAGGUCAUGAAUUUCUAGAUGUAUGAAAAGUAGUACAGUUAGUGCUUGAUUUGUUCCAGGUGUAUUUAUUAGUAAUGUGAUAAUAAUCUUAUGUAAUGACCUUGCAGUUGACUGUUAUCAUGGUCUAACUGAAUUGUAGCCAUGGUCUAACUGAAUUGGGGCGUCAGUCUAAAUGAAUUGUAGCCACACAGUGUAUUAUAGUCAUGGUCUAAAUGUGAAUUAAUCCUGGUCGAGCUGCAUUGUUCCCGUUAUCUAUGUGAAUGGCAGCCCUGGUACAACAGUAAAAUAUGCACUAUCAUAUCAAGAUGUUUUAAAGUACGAAGUUUGUUUAUCGUUGAAGUCAGAGUUGAAGUUUACAAUCUCAUUGUUAGAUGAUUCAGGUUGCAGAAUGAAAUUCCACUGUUGAAAGUAUUUGUUUACUUAAUGAAUCUACACUUGCAAAGACAACUGCAGCAGGAUAACCAUGGCAACUGUUUAUUGUGGAGCAGUUCCCUGGCAACAACAAUCUGCAAGGGUAGACUAUGUAAACAGUAGAUCAGCCACUGUCUUCACCUGGGACAGAAGUCACAGACACUAAACAUACAGUGGGCAGAUGUAGGGAAGGGUAGACAGGCAGUGGACAGAAGUCACAGACACUGGACAUACAGUGGACAGAUGUAGGGAAGGGUAGACAGGCAGUGGACAGAAGUCACAGACACUAGACAUACAGUGGGCAGAUGUAGGGAAGGGUAGACAGGCAGUGGACAGAAGUCACAGACACUAGACAUACAGUGGGCAGAUGUAGGGAAGGGUAGA